GUAGUUAGCCGGGGCUUCCUUGCAGGGUACCGUCAUUUGUUUCGUCCCCUGCGACAGAGAUUUACAACCCGAAGGCCUUCUUCUCUCACGCGGCGUUGCUGGGUCAGGCUUGCGCCCAUUGCCCAAUAUUCCCCACUGCUGCCUCCCGUAGGAGUCUGGACCGUGUCUCAGUUCCAGUGUGGCCGAUCAGCCUCUCAGCUCGGCUACCCAUCGUUGACUUGGUGGGCCGUUACCUCACCAACUAUCUAAUGGGACGCGAACCCCUCCCAAAGCGGAUUGCUCCUUUGACCUCAUCCCGAUGCCGGGUCGUGGUCUCAUGCGGUAUUAGCACCUGUUUCCAAGUGUUAUCCCCCUCUGUAAGGCAGGUUGUUCACGCGUUACUCACCCGUUCGCCACUAGAAUUAUAAAUUCCAUCCGAAAACUUCCUUCAUAAUCCCCGUUCGACUUGCAUGUGUUAGGCACGCCGCCAGCGUUCGUCCUGAGCCAGAAUCAAACUCUGA
rnacentral:rRNA from 1 species